rnacentral:rRNA from 1 species
ACGGGGAGUUGCGAAGAAACUUUGAUCCGUGGAUGUCCGAAUGGGGAAACCCACUCCGUAUGGAGUACUUGUUACUGAAUUCAUAGGUAACAAGAGCGAACCUGGUGAACUGAAAUAUCUAAGUAGCCAGAGGAAAGGAAAUCACAGAGACUCCCUUAGUAGUGACGAGCGAACGGGGACUAGGCCAGUGGCCUUGAGUUAAGAACCGGAAUCUUCUGGAAAGGAGAACCAUAGUGGGUGACAGUCCCGUACGGGUAGAAAUUCUCAAGGUCCUCGAGUAGGGCGGGACACGUGAAAUCCUGUCUGAAUAUGGGGCGACCACGCUCCAAGCCUAAGUACUCCUUGCAGACCGAUAGUGAACUAGUACCGUGAGGGAAAGGUGAAAAGCACCCCGGCAAGGGGAGUGAAAUAGACCUGAAACCGGAUGCAUACAAGCAAUAGGAGCACCGCAAGGUGUGACUGUGUACCUCUUGUAUAAUGGGUCAGCGACUUAAUGUAUCGAGCAAGCUUAAGGCGAUAGCUGUAGGCGUAGCGAAAGCAAGUGUUAAUAGCGCGAAUGAGUUCGAUGUAUUAGACCCGAAACCUAGUGAUCUAGCCAUGGUCAGGUUGAAGGUGAGGUAACACUCACUGGAGGACCGAACACACGCCCGUUGAAAAGGUCGGUGAUGAACUGUGGUUAGGGGUGAAAGGCCAAUCAAACUGGGAAAUAGCUGGUUCUCCGCGAAAUAUAUUUAGGUAUAGCGUCGUACGAAUACCCCGGGGGGUAGAGCACUGGAUGGGCUAGGGGGUCCCAAAGACCUACCAAACCUAACCAAACUCCGAAUACCCGGGAGUACUAUACGGCAGUCAGACGGCGAAUGCUAACGUCCGUCGUCGAGAGGGAAACAACCCAGACCUACAGCUAAGGCCCCAAAAUCGUAGUUAAGUUGGAAAGGAUGUGGAACGACCAUAACAGCCAGGAGGUUGGCUUAGAAGCAGCCAUCCUUUAAAGAAAGCGUAACAGCUCACUGGUCUAAUAGUUAUUCUGCGCCUAAAAUGUAACGGGGAUCAAACUACGUGCCGAAGCUUAGGACUUAAAUUUAUUUUUAAGUGGUAGCGGAGCGUUCCGUAAGCCUGUGAAGCUAGUCCGACAAGGAAUAGUGGAGGUAUCGGAAGUGAGAAUGCUGACAUGAGUAACGACUAACAGUGUGAGAAACACUGUCGCCGAAUGACCAAGGGUUCCUGCGUCAAGUUAAUCUGAGCAGGGUUAGCCGGCCCCUAAGACGAGGCAGAAAUGCGUAGUCGAUGGAAACCACGUUAAUAUUCGUGGGCCUGGUGGUAGUGACGGAUCUGCAGUUUUGUUCCUUCUUAUUGGAUUGAAGGGGCGGGGCGAAUGGUUCCAGGAAAUAGCUCCAUCAUUAAAGACCGUACCCGAAACCGACACAGGUGGUCAGGUAGAGUAUACCAAGGCGCUUGAGAGAACGAUGCUGAAGGAACUAGGCAACUUGCAUGCGUAACUUC